GAUGAACGCUGGCGGCGUGCCUAAUACAUGCAAGUCGAACGAAACUUCUUUAUCACCGAGUGCUUGCACUCACCGAUAAAGAGUUGAGUGGCGAACGGGUGAGUAACACGUGGGCAACCUGCCCAAAAGAGGGGGAUAACACUUGGAAACAGGUGCUAAUACCGCAUAACCAUAGUUACCGCAUGGUAACUAUGUAAAAGGUGGCUAUACUACCGCUUUUGGAUGGGCCCGCGGCGCAUUAGCUAGUUGGUAGGGUAAAGGCUUACCAAGGCAAUGAUGCGUAGCCGAAUUGAGAGGUUGAUCGGCCACAUUGGGACUGAGACACGGCCCAAACUCCUACGGGAGGCCGCAGUAGGGAAUCUUCCACAAUGGGCGAAAGCCUGAUGGAGCAACGCCGCGUGGGUGAAGAAGGUCUUCGGAUCGUAAAACCCUGUUGUUAGAGAAGAAAGUGCGUGAGAGUAACUGUUCACGUUUCGACGGUAUCUAACCAGAAAGCCACGGCUAACUACGUG
rnacentral:rRNA from 1 species